GGUGCAGCGCCCUAGGCGCCGCCUGCACCACACGCGCCCUCCUCAGCUCCCCGGCCGACAGCCCACCUGGGCUUCGGGAACAGUGGGAGGGAGAGUCUGGGGCCAGGAGAGGGACGGUGCAGGAUCAGGGAAAGUUUGAAGAUCAUUCAACUCAACAGAAAAAAAAAAAAAAGGAAAAGAAAUGGAAGAGAUCAGCUUUCUCUCUGUCCUGCAAAGAUCUGCUGGGCAGGCCUGAGCUGAGAAAUGAGGGAAGGCAGACAUAUGUAUGAGCACCUAUGCAGAGAGAGUCUCGCCCAGGCUGUCCCCCAGGCUGGAGUGCAGUGGC